UACAGAGGUCUCAACCGUUGUUCGGAUUCAUUGGGCGUAAAGGGUGCGUAGGCGGUCGCGCAAGUCGGAUGUGAAAUCUCAGGGCUCAACCCUGAAACUGCAUUCGAUACUGCGUGGCUAGAGUGCUGGAGGGGAGACUGGAAUUUACGGUGUAGCAGUGAAAUGCGUAGAUAUCGUAAGGAAGACCAGUGGCGAAGGCGAGUCUCUGGACAGGAACUGACGCUGAGGCACGAAGGCCAGGGGAGCAAACGGG
rnacentral:rRNA from 1 species